rnacentral:rRNA from 1 species
ACUGAACGCUGGCGGCAUGCCUUACACAUGCAAGUCGAACGGUAACAGGGAGCUUGCUCCGCUGACGAGUGGCGAACGGGUGAGUAAUGCAUCGGAACGUACCCAGUAGUGGGUGAUAACGCAGCGAAAGCUGUGCUAAUACCGCAUACGCACUGAGGUGGAAAGCAGGGGACCUUCGGUCCUUGUGCUAUUGGAGCGGCCGAUGGCAGAUUAGCUAGUUGGUGGGGUAAAAGCUCACCAAGGCGACGAUCUGGAGCUGGGCAGAGAGGAUGGUCAGCCACACUGGGACUGAGACACGGCCCAGACUCCUACGGGAGGCAGCAGUGGGGAAUUUUGGACAAUGGGGGCAACCCUGAUCCAGCCAUGCCGCGUGAGUGAAGAAGGCCUUCGGGUUGUAAAGCUCUUUCGGCCGGGAAGAAAUCGCCAUCUCUAACAUAGGUGGUGGAUGACGGUACCGGAAUAAGAAGCACCGGCUAACUACGUGCCAGCCGCCGCCGUAA